UGAAGAGGACGGAGUGAGUUUUCGAUCCGCUUCGAAUUGUGACCCCCCGCCCCCGCUUCUCGAAUGUUGUGAAAGUGACUAACUCUCUCUGGACUUUUUGUUGUAUUUGGGAGAUUGAUUCGGGACGAUUUUGUACCAAGUUGUCGUACUCACUUUCAAAAAAAACUACAUUUUCAUUUCGUGGAUUAAAUAUUUCUACUCUGCAGCUUUGUUGUGAACACUCUACAUAUGUACGUGACCAUUUUCGUAUAGAAAAUUUGAAUGAAAAAAGCAAAUGGUAGCUUUCAUUGUAUUUCUCAAAGUGAUAUGGAUAUCAAUGUUUGUGAAUCAAUGAAAAAAUAGCGAAUUUGCCAACGUCUUCAUUUAACUAACUAUAUUGUUGAAAUUAAAUAAUAAAAAAGAAAAUCAAUACAACGCAGUAGUUUUUUUCGGUACUUGUCCAUUUUGUAACUAAAUACAUAUCAUUGGAGCAGUUUUUUUUAAAGGAUAAACGAAGAAUUCGCCAAACCUAAUGUUCAUAUCUAAUUUUUAAGUAAAUAAAUUUGUAUACAAGUGAAAUUUUAAAUAUAUGCAAUGCACAUACAUUGAGAAACAUAAACACAUAUACAUAUGCAUAUGUUACUAAAAAAUAUGAAUGAAAACAACAACAACAAAAAUACACAGGUACAUGUGUGUUUGAGAGAAAAUAUUUAUGUUUAGACACGAAGCCAUCAUUCGUUUUGCAAAGAUAUGUACGGGAAAGAAAUCUAUUUUGAAAUGAUAAACGAGUGAAUAUCACAUUUGUAAAGUGUUUGCUAAAAAAUAAAAUUAUACAAAAAAUCAGUGUUGAACAUACCUCUAUUUAUACGAAAUAACGCACAAAUAUUUAUAAAAUCAUUAUUAUUCCAAGCCGAAAAAUGUAAUUAAAAAAGUUUCUAAAACACAUAAAAAAGCAUUGUUUACUUUCCAAAUUAUAAAAUGGAGACAAUCCAUUCAAAAACUUGUCUAAAAUGUAGUAAAUUCUGUAAAAACACAAGAGUCGACCGUGGACUACCAUUCCAAAUAUACAUGUUAUUUCAUUAAAAGGAGCACGUACCAUCUAGUGUAUUUUAAAACUAAAAUUUAACACAACCGAUUUUGAUAAAAUGCAUCAAUCAAAGUCAUUAUCAUACAACUUAUUUUCGGAAUAUCCAACAAGACCGUUAAGCUUAGUUUUGUUAUUAUUUUUAAGGAUAACAGCAUUUAUUAAGACAACUCACAGUGCUGACUUUGUAAUUGAAAUACGAAAUAAUUCGGGACAUGACACAUCUCAGUAUAGAUUCGAUUACUAUCCGCCAUAUGGCGAUCCACCGCCAAACACAACUAUAAUUCCAAGAGACCUAGGAAAUGAAAUCAAAUUUUCAAAUGGACUUCCAGGAACACGAUACAAUUUUAGACUUCAUCCUUUGAGCGAUUCCUACAGAGACUACUUAAGUUGGGAGGUUUCACUGGUUACUCCACCUGAUCCUCCUUCGAAUCUCUCGGUUUCUGUUAGAAGUGGAAAAACAGCGUUAAUUACGUGGAGUCCACCAACACAGGGAAACUAUACAUCAUUUCGAUUGCGAGUAAUUGAUUUAAUAAACAACAGCAACAGAACUAUACCAGUCGAAGAUGGGAUUAUGCAAUAUCCAUUGAGAGAACUAACUCCAGGAGCAACAUAUCAAGUUCAAGCAUUUACUGUUUUUGACAAUAAAGAGUCUUUGGCCUACACGAGUAGAAACUUCACAACAAAAAAGUACCGACACAAAGACCUUCUGGAUAUAAAAAUCCUAAGAGAGCCAAAUACACCUGGAAAGUUUAUUGUUUGGUUUAGAAACGAAACGACGUUACUUGUGCUUUGGCAACCGCCUUAUCCAGCUGGGUUUUACACGCACUACAAAGUCUCGAUUGAGCCUCCAGAUGCUUUGGAGAGUAUUUUAUAUGUGGAAAAAGAAGGUGAACCUCCAGGACCUGCCCAAGCAGCUUUCAAAGGUCUUGUUCCUGGACGUCCGUACAAUAUUUCCGUCCAAACCAUGUCGGAAGAUGAGAUAUCGCUUCCGACGACAGCGCAGUAUCGAACGGUACCCUUGCGUCCACUCAAUGUUACGUUUGACACGAAUUCCAUCACGGAAACGUCUUUCAAAGUAAUGUGGGAAGCACCGAAAGGACAAAGUGAAUUUGAUAAGUAUCAAGUGUCAAUAUCGCAAUCUCGAAGACAGCAAACUGUUUUACGAGACCAAGGAACCACAUUGGAGUUUCGAGACAACUUGGAACCUGGAAAGACAUAUUCCAUCAUAGUCAAAACGGUUUCCGGUAAAGUUACCUCAUGGCCGGCUACUGGAGACGUGACUCUAAAACCACUUCCAGUUCAACAUUUACGUUCAAUUACAAAUGAAAAAACUGGAAUUGUUACGGUUAUGUGGACACCAAGUAAUGGUAGCAUUCAAGAGGAAUAUCGGAUCAACUAUCAUGAAGUGGAGACUUUUAAUGGCGAUGCAAGCUCUAUGACAACAAACGCAACGAGAUACACGCUAGAAUCAUUACUACCUGGAAGAAAUUAUUCCAUCACAGUGCAGGCAAUCUCUAAACGCAUAGAGUCCAAUGAAAGUACAAUUUAUGUUGUUACUCGUCCUUCAUCACCAAUCAUAGAAGAUUUAAAGUCAUUAGAGCGCGGCUUAAAUAUAUCGUGGAAAAGUGAUGUCAACUCCAGACAAGAUGAAUUUGAGGUUGUAUGUAUACGAAAUAAUACAAGAGAGAUACAAAUUGAGAAAACAACAGAAUCCCGACAUGAAUUUAAAAAUCUAUAUCCUGGAGGUUUUUAUGAAAUUAAAGUUUUUGCAUUGAGUCACGGCACAAAAAGCGAACCUCAUUCACAUUUUCAAGCAGUUUACCCAAAUCCUCCUUCUAACCUUCGUUUAGAAAAAAUGUCAGCUAAUUCAGUGCUGUUGUCGUGGGAAGCACCAAUCAACUCAGACUUUACAGAGUAUUCAAUUAAGUAUCGUACCGAUAGUGAAAAUCAAUGGAUACGUCUUCAACCUGUGGCCUACACCGAAGCUGAUGUCACUGACAUGACUCGUGGUGAAAAAUAUACUAUUCAAGUAAACUCCGUCAGUCAUGGUGUUGAAAGUCCACAUCCAUUAUAUGUAAAUCAAACGAUCUCACCAAAUCCUGUAGAGAAAAUAACACCGAUUAUUGACUCAAAUAAUAUCACGUUGGAAUGGCCCCGACCCGAGGGAAGGAUCGAAAAAUACUUGUUAAUGUGGUGGCCAUCUGAUCAACCUGAGCAAAUUCGUAUGAAAAAUGUAUCUGAAAGUAGAGUUGAACCGCCUGAAUUUGAAGUAGCAAGCGAAGAAUAUGAACGGACUAUUGUUCGAAUUUUAAUUGACGAUCUUUUGUCUGGAGUUGAGUACAGUUUCAAGAUUCAAACAGUAUCUUACGAUCUAAUAAGUGAUACAACAGUUCUGAAUGAGCGAACUCGUCCCCUAAUUCAAUCAUCCCUGACAAUCGUAAAUACGCCACAUGAACGUGAAUCUCUUACUUUUAUUUACACACCAACUCCACAAGGCUCAUCUAAAUUUGAUCUGUAUCGUUUUUCCCUGGGAGAUUUGUCCAUUCCUGACAAGGAAAAACUGGCAAACGAUAAUGACAAAAAAGUCACAUUCAGCAAUUUGGUUCCUGGUAAAUUAUAUAACAUUUCUAUGUGGACUGUCAGUGGUGGAGUUGUCAGCACACCUAUCACGUUACAUGAAAGAAUGUAUCCUGAUCCAAUCACUCAGCUGAAUGCGACUGUGGUAACGGAUGUAGAAAUCACAUUAAAGUGGGAUAUUCCUAAGGGCGAGUAUACAGCAUUUGAAGUGCAAUAUCUUAAAAGCGAUGAGCAUCUUAUAAAAAACGUAACAUCUAACAACCAAAUUGUAAUAUCCGAUCUAAAGCCGCAUCGUAACUACACAUUUACAGUAGUUGUACGAUCGGGAACAGAGUCCAGUGUUCUUAGAGAUAGUAUUCCUGUGUCUGCAAUCUUUCAAACGCAAGAGUCCGUGCCUGGCAGAGUAGAAACGUUUCAACCAACAGAUGUUCAACCUAGUCAGAUAACAUUCGAGUGGUCUCUACCCUCCAGUGAGGCAAACGGCAUUAUACAAGAAUACAUUAUAACAUAUCAUCAAGAAGGUCGAUCCGAAACAUAUACCAAGGAGUUCUCGUCUACACAAUAUGAAGGUGUUUUAACUAAUCUUUUGCCGGGAAAAUCUUAUGUUUUUAAAAUACAAGCAAAAACAGCCAUUGGUCCCGGACCUGAGACAAUUCACAAAGAGAAAAUGCCAAUAUUACCUCCACCACAGCCCGACACUCAUAUUGUGCCAAUCGAGGUUUACCGAAGCUCAACCGCUAUUCAAAUUCGCUUCCGUAAAAACUACUUCUCCGAAAAGAAUGGUCCGGUUAUCAAUUAUACGAUUAUUGUGGCGGAAGACACAAGUAAAAAUGCAACAGGAUUAGAAAUGCCAAGUUGGAGAGAUGUACAGUCAUACAGUGUUUGGCCACCGUAUCAAGUAACAGAACCAUACAAUCCAUUUUUGAAUGGAUCUGUCGAGAACUUUACAAUCGGAGUAGAAACAGAUUGUCCACAACACAGAAUAUACUGCAAUGGCCCUUUGAAACCUGGAACGGUUUACCGAGUAAAAGUUCGAGCGUUUACAGACAAAUUCAAGUUUACAGAUACAGCAUAUAGCGUAAUACAAACUGAGCAAGACAAUACAUCUCUCAUUGUGGCAAUAACAAUUCCUUUAAUGCUUAUUCUUAUUUUGAUUAUGGCGAUUCUUUUCCUUCGACGUCGUCGACACAAUGGAAGAAAAACAACGGAGUCUCGCAUCAAUGAUAACAUGUCGUUACCGGACACUACUAUUGAAACGUCUCGUCCAGUGUUGAUGAAAAAUUUCGCAGAGCAUUAUCGUCUCAUGUCCGCUGAUUCCGACUUCAGAUUUAGCGAAGAGUUUGAGGAACUUAAACAGGUGGGGCGUGAUCAACCUUGUACUUUUGCAGAUCUUCCUUGUAAUCGACCGAAAAAUCGUUUUACGAAUAUUUUGCCAUUCGAUCACUCUCGUUUUAAGUUACAGCCAGUAGAUGAUGAUGAAGGAUCAGACUAUAUUAAUGCAAACUAUGUGCCGGGACACAAUUCUCCACGUGAAUUUAUCGUAACACAAGGACCGUUACAUUCUACAAGAGAUGACUUUUGGCGAAUGUGCUGGGAGUCUAAUUCGCGUGCAAUAGUGAUGUUGACACGUUGCUUUGAAAAAGGUCGUGAGAAAUGUGACCACUACUGGCCACACGACACCACACCCGUUUACUAUGGGGACAUAAAAGUGACAUUGUUAAAUGACAGUCAUUACCCCGAUUGGAUCAUAACGGAAUUCAUGAUGCAACGUGGUGAUGUGCAAAGAAUUAUUCGACAUUUCCACUUUACAACAUGGCCAGAUUUUGGUGUGCCAAAUCCACCACAAACAUUAGCUCGUUUCGUACGGGCAUUCCGAGAACGUGUUGGUCCAGAUCAACGACCAAUUGUUGUACACUGCAGUGCAGGUGUUGGACGUUCUGGAACUUUCAUCACUUUAGACAGAAUUCUACAACAAAUCCAAGUUGCUGACUAUGUUGAUAUAUUUGGGAUUGUUUGUGCCAUGCGAAAAGAGCGUGUCUGGAUGGUUCAAACAGAACAGCAAUAUAUUUGUAUACAUCAAUGCUUAAUGGCUGUGUUAGAGGGCAAGGAAAAUAUGAGUCCUGCCAGAGAAAUACAUGAAAACCAAGGAUAUGAAGAUCAAACAAAUGUCACCAUAGAAAACGACGAGACUCAACCAUUAACAGAAGCAAUAGAAACUAUGAAUCAUGGCUCUAUCGAACAACCACAAUCACAAGAUUGGAAAGCAGAAAGAUGACAUUUAGAAUGUGGCGAUGAUGGUCAAGUGUCACCAAAUAAUGAAGUUUUUGAUUGUAACCAAACCAUCAUCAGCCCCACUCACAACAAUUAUUGUGAAAAUAUUUCUGGAAAUAACGUUAAUACGAGUGAUAUUAUUGACGAUGAUUCGAACAGUACAAGCGGCGUUGAUAAUGGGCCAAAAGAUAUGUAUGAGGAGGAAGAUAUUGAACAAAAUGGGCAUUGUGAUAUUAUCUGUGCAGAAUUAACAAAUGAUGAUGAUGAUGAUGAUGAAGAAGCUGAUCAUGAAUUGAAAGAAAACGAAGCAUUGCUGUCAAAUAACAUCCGAAACAGUAUUCUUGAAAAAGGUCAUAACGAAAUAAAGAGCAGUGACCAAACACAUGAAGCGGGCGUAGAUGAAGAUAACAACACAAUAAUGAAUUCUGAUAUUGAUCAUAGUAUGGCUAAUGGUAGCAAUCAUUCAGAAAAGCUUACUAAUGAAAUGGAUGAUGAAGGAAUAGCCGAGUCUGGAAUGUAAGAAGGGUUAAACCCUAAUUACCUUAGUCAAACAUAUAUGAUAAACUAAACAUAUUUCAGGAUUUAAAUGUAAGGAACUGCACAAAGUUAAUAAUAGUGAAAAAACGCAACAAAUAGCAAAAUGUAUUGGAUCAAUCAACUUAAUCUAUCUUACUUAUUCAGCGGCAGUUUAAAUAACGUUUACAAAUUACUUAGUUCAGCUCGUCAAAAUGUUUUAAAACACAAUAAAAAAAAAUGUAGCGAAAUGUAGAACGUGCCAAAUUUAUGUGUACCUAAAUCUUAAUCAACAUUCGAUUAAAGAGUUUUUACAACAAUUUUUAAGAAAUAACAAAAAACCACCUUGAAUUUUAUGAAAAUGACUAUCACAAUAUUUAAAAAAAUGCCUUUUUUAAAUAAAAUAAAUUGUGUAAAUCA